UUACUUAAUUAAAAAAUGAAGCUUCUGACAGUUUCUUUUCUUUUUGCAUCCUGCUUCCUGAGCUCACAAAGUAUAAUGGUUACGGACAGUGGGUUUAGCUUUACGCUGGAGGCUGUAAAGAUUCUGAAGCAGCUGAUGGAAGCCCUUGAAAAUGAAUAUCCUGAUCCUCCUUCAAGCACUCCAGAGCCUCUUUGUGUCAGCUUAGAUCUCCCAAAAGAGUUCCUGGAAGUGUGCCAGCGAGACGACCAUGACAGAAUCUUUGGAAAUCUGGUUAAAAUCAUCACACCUCCCGACCCAUGCGAGAUCUGUGCCAAUGCCGCCUGCACUGGAUGUUUGUUCAACACGAUUCAACUCACCAGCUCCAUAUGAAACAUGCUUCCAUCUUGUUUUGCUUUUUUCUUUAUGUGCUUACUUGUUUGAGUGUAUUUUUCUUCUAAACUAUUUUUGUUGCUGUUUUAACCAGCACACCCCUAUCAUGGCAAUGCCCCUGUGUACAAUGGAAAAUUCAUGAAAACACGGUUUGCUAACUUGAAAACAGAGACCUGACCUCAACCCCAAUGAACACAUCUGGAAUGAAAUGAAAUACUGACUGCACCCCAGACCUCCUCACCCAACACAGUUAUGUGCUUGAACUCACUAAUGCUCUUAUGGUGGCUGAAUUCCCAUAGCCACACUCUAAAAUGUAUGGAAAACCUUUCCCAGGAGAAAUGAAAUUAUUAUAAAAGGAAAAGGAGCAACACAUUUGGAAUGAGGUUUUAAAUAUUAACACAUACAUGUGACAGUCAGGUAUCCACACCACUUUGGAUAUAUUGUGUAUAUAUUUACUCAUUAUUUGUACUGCUUUAUAUAAUUUUCUGUUUUCUGGCCUCUGUAUGUUUUUCACGUAUACCUAUUUUCAUUUCACCUGUAAUCCUAAAUUUAAAAUGUUAGUUUAUCCACAAUAUCAGUGGUUUCCACAGUACCAUGAUGGUUAUUUUGGAUUUAUUCCAUAUAAACCAAAUACUAUGGUACAGUAUCUGCUUAACAAAGCAGUCACUUUUUCAACUUUUCCCAUCUGUCUUUCCCUUCAUUCCCAAAAGUCUGGCCAUCUUAUAACAUAAGGCAGGUGUGAAAAAAUGCUGUAAACAAAGAAUGCUUUCAGAAAUAUAACUAAUGAGUGUUUAGUUCUGUCAAUUUACAAAAUGCAAAGUGAGCAAACAAAAGGAAAAUAUAAAUC